GUGCUCACCUGGGCAGCAAAUAUACCAAAACUGGAACCAAGAUUAGCAUGGCCCUGUGCAAAGAUGACACCCAAAUGCAUGCAGUGUCUGAGCAAUCA
ensembl:snRNA U6 U6 spliceosomal RNA